rnacentral:rRNA from 1 species
GAUGAACGCUGGCGGCGUGCCUAAUACAUGCAAGUCGAGCGAACAGACGAGGAGCUUGCUCCUCUGACGUUAGCGGCGGACGGGUGAGUAACACGUGGAUAACCUACCUAUAAGACUGGGAUAACUUCGGGAAACCGGAGCUAAUACCGGAUAAUAUAUUGAACCGCAUGGUUUAAUAGUGAAAGACGGUUUUGCUGUUACUUAUAAAUUGAUCCGCGCCGCAUUAGCUAGUUGGUAAGGUAACGGCUUACCAAGGCAACGAUGCGUAGCCGACCUGAGAGGGUGAUCGGCCACACUGGAACUGAGACACGGUCCAGACUCCUACGGGAGGCAGCAGUAGGGAAUCUUCCGCAAUGGGCGAAAGCCUGACGGAGCAACGCCGCGUGAGUGAUGAAGGUCUUCGGAUCGUAAAACUCUGUUAUUAGGGAAGAACAAAUGUGUAAGUAACUAUGCACGUCUUGACGGUACCUAAUCAGAAAGCCACGGCUAACUACGUG